CCCAAGUAGCUAAAACCUCUCCAUAGUAUUGUACAUGUGAAUAUGUUAUAUAAACAUUCCGAGAUUUUGAUCUCCCUUGGUCUUCCCCACACUGCAGAGUGACCCUCCACCGGCUGGGGGCUCGGGUCCUGAUUGGGCUCGCUGGAGGUGGAGGAGAGGGCAGGAGGGCCAGAGGCAGCGGCCCUGAGAGAGGAGCUGCUGCAGCUCAGCCUGCAGUCUGGAGUCAGCAGCACACACACCGCCUUCAUCGCCAUCCACAAGGGCAGCGGACAGGCUGUGAAGGGACCACUGCUCCGCAGAACCAUACCAACCCCAAGUUUCAGUGGGUCUCUUUCUUUGCCUGUGUGUCUUCUGAUACCACAGUGAUUCUAUGCUGAAGAAAAUAACUUACAGGUUCUUCUGUUACAUUUUAUUUCAGUUUUUUUUUUUUGCCAGGGGGUCUGGUUUUGGUGGACCUAUGGCCAUGUGCUCUUCAAUGGGACCAAUGGUUCCUAUAGGUAGAAUGUCCCCAAGGCCACCUAGGAGUGGAAUGAGUGCAAUGGAUAGUCGAGAGACGUUUGACAUGGAAGGCCGUGCUAUGCUGGAUGACGAAGGCGGGUUUGAUGUCCAAGGUACAAUCUUUAAUUCAGUCAAUUGUUUGAUGUAUAUUUUCCACAUAUAAUUUCUGUAACAUUCAUUUUUGUUUAUCUUGCUGCCUAUUUUCAUCUGAAUUAAUGUGUCUCACAGAUCCCCUCCUUAAGCUGAUUCUCCAGAAAGCCACGGGGUCAUGGGAAAUGGACUCCUCAAUGGCUAAAGUGUUGGAGAAGUCAGAUGACGAGUUGGCCAAACUGAUGCCCUUGGGGGUAAAAAGUGGUCUUAUAUUAAUCAUCUCAACAAGCCAAAGAGCUACAGCAAUCAUAGAAUAAUUUUAGGAAUGUUGAACCUAGUUAUGCAUCCUGUCAAGGCUGUGUGGGCUACAACUCUGGCUCUGAUUUGGCUCUAUGGUUUGCGGCUGGAGGCCCAGGAAGAAUGGCAGUUUGUAGCCAUGAAGGCAGCGUCCUGGAUUCAAGCUCAGAAAGGUAAACUUGUCUCCUCUCAGUCUUUGCCAGUCUAAAGACGUGUGUGUUUUCUAGUUCUCACAUUUACCUUUUGUGUUGCAGUGGGCUGUGUGUCUCAGUGUGUGCAGGCUGGAAAUGCUCUGCUGGGAUGCCAGGUGCAGCAGAAGACCCUGGGGCUCUGAGGUGACCAUGGACGGAUUAUGGACAUGUAAAAGCCCCCAACACCACCACCCCCCGUAUGCGCGCGCCUGCAAAAAUUGGAUUUACAGGAUUUACAGCGCACAUACACAUUUCCUUACACAGCGCAGGUACACUCAAUUAAAG
rnacentral:lncRNA from 1 species